rnacentral:ncRNA from 2 species
GCAGAGUAGGCGUAUGCGCGUUAAGUGCCGGCUGAACAGGGAGUUGUCAGCCAGACGAAAAGAAACGGCCGGAGGCGGUUUCUUGCGGUGCGUAUGCCGCAUCCCGCUGC